GGGCUUCUUAAAGUGGCACCGGGCCACAGACAGCUGCUUAUAAAUAGGCAUGUGCCAUUUAGAAGGUCGCACAGCGAACCUCGAAACAUGCCAGAACCUUAACGAGAAACACUGAAAUGCAGAAGAAAUCAGAAGGAACCGCGCUCCCAACACGCACGGCCCCGCCACGCAGGAGCAUCCUAUGGGGCAGGGAGCAGCCAAUGCUCGUGGGGCUGCUCACAGGGAAGUGAACGCUGCCUUUCAUAAAAGCUGACUCCUCUACCCCAAAUAAAAAACAUUCCCUGCCUUGAAGAACAACAUUUUUUUAAUUAUUAUUUCAAAGUACCCUGUUCAGCAGCAGAGCAUACAAAUACUCAUAGCUACGCAAAUAGCAACUCUUUAUUUGCUUUGUUUGCUCAGCUAAUAUUGACUUUCCAGCCUAACACUGCUGCUAUUGAGUUUGGCUAUUCACAGUACUGUUUGACUAGCAUUAGAACAGCGCGGCGAUAACAGCAUGUGCAACCGAAAAAGCAAUCCAUCGCCCCUCCGUGGGACAGUGCCAUUAUGACAGAGGGGGAAAAAAAACCGUCUGCUUAUUCAGUCAAGUACAACUGUUGAAUGCAACGCUGGCAAUGACACUCCUGGCUAGUGCAAACAACCCAAGGUUACAGCGUUAGUGUGUACUCGCGCAAAGCAAACACUACAGAGCGGUUCCGUUGCUGCCCGUCGCCUUGGGCAGGACCCAGGGGUUCGUUCCCUGCCUGGGGUCAGUGUGUGCUGCCCUGUGCCAAGGCUCCUCCCAGCCGUGUGCGUGCUGUGGAGUGGAUGGGCAGACACGGAUGGAUGGAUGGGACCCCUCUGUGGGGGGAAGCAGGGCGAGAGCGCUGCGGAAGGGACGAGGUGGUUGUAGAGAGAUUGCAGAGCCAGACUGAUUGCCUCGCUCGCCUCCCACGUGCAUCCAUCAGUUUAUACAAAUAGCUGUGUGUGCACAGCAGGCAGAGGCAGAGAGCAGCGCCUGUCUGGCACACCGAGCAGCCGGCUCCUCCCGGGGCAGCCCUGCGUGGGACCCCCAGCCCCACAUUAUCACUGCGAGCCCUGGGUUUGGUACUUCAAGCUGACAUUGGGAAGUUCCUCCUCCUCUGCUUCAGGAGGCAGGGAAACAGAUAGAGAGGAGAGGCAGAGCUGGCGGUUGGAUGUGGUGAUCUUAGCGGUCUUUUCCAGCCCUAACGAUUCUAUGAGUCUAUGAUGCCAUGAGGGAGGUCACCACUGCAUCCAAGCUCCAGGACAUUACAUCCACGUGGAGGCAUUCCCUCCAAGAGCUCCAAAAAUGAGGCAGAAGCCGCAUUUCUGCACGCACUGAUUACUGAGGAGCAACAAACAGCUGCAUGCAAAAGUGGAAAGCAGGUGCUGGGCACGGCCACCUCCCAACUUCCUCGUGCUGAGUUUUCCCAUGAGCAGUGAAUGCCAAGCAGCCUCUAACCCAGAGCAUCCAGGUUAAUUACUCAUUAAUAGCACUGAAACACCCUUCACAUUCUCCAGGAAAUGUAUUCCAGCCAGCACGAAAGGCAACGCAAUGCUCUGAUUCAUCCCAGCGUCCAGGAGAACAUCGCAGCAAUAAACUGAUAAGGAAGAACAGGUCCGAUGCAGCUCCUCUCCAGCCUGUAAUUAGAGCAGUCUGCAUGGCAAUUAACACAAAGUUCCCACUGGUGUGGCUCGGGGCGGGCUCCCAUCCCGCUGCUCUACAGAUGAGUUCUUCCUUCCUUCCAGGCCCACCCCUGGCAGGCACUGCACCCAUGCAGGGCAGCCCUCAGCCCCCGCAGCCUUCCCUGGUGUCGGUGCCAUGCUGGGUAUCUCCCAUAGGGCCAAACUCAUGGUCACAGCACCCAAAAUGCAGCACAGGGUGGGCUCUGCAGCACACCAACCAGCUCCCCUCUCUCAUCCACUCAGCUCAGUCUCAGAGCCCACAAGAUAUGCCACUCUAUGCAAAUCUACCCACCUGCCACUCAGCAGAAAUAGGAGUUCAUUUUGAGUCCCAGAGCCCCAGGCUUUGACACUUGCCAUGCUAAGCACUGCUCAGGGCUGCCUGCAGGCAGCACAGAGCCACUGCCAUCUGCUGCCAUGGGCUGCCAUCACACCGUGCUGCUCCUGGGCUGCCCCACACUUUGACUUUAAUCCCUAUCCAUACUCUUUAUCCAUGCAAUUGCCCACAGUGCCCCGUGCCUCUGAUUUUCCCUCCCUGAGUAACAGGCAAACUUCUCGCUUCUGCCUGCUAAGCUGCCGUGAGCUUCAGCUCUCUGGAAUGACCAGGAUGGGCAGAUGUCACCUGGAUGCCACCACCCCAAGGGCUGCUCUGAAGAUGCUCUGCUGCAAACCUAUGUGGUUUUUCCCAGAGAAGGCGGCUCAGGGCCAGACACAAACACCCAUUACAGACGCAGGUGGGGAGGUGCUGCAAUAGCAGUGACUCAGGACUGCACCAUCUCGCCCUGCUGAUGGGCUCUGUGUGGGCUCAUCCUGCCCAGGACACCGUCUCCAAGGGCUGGGAGCCACCUGUUGGGCAAAAGUGGGGCAGAGGAGCAGCGUUGCUCAACCCAACCUCAUUCACCACUCAUCCCAGAGCAUCAUCUCCAUCACCUGCAGCAUAAUUCCCUUUGCAAGCCAAGCAGCAAGUCUACUUUCUGCUUCAGUUGCUUCCCUCUGCAAAAAGCGUUUGCUAACUCCCAUUAUCCAAUAUUUAACAGUGCACAGCAAUAAACAAAGUGUUAGAGAUGAGAGUACACGCCGCGUGUGUUGUGAGGCUGCAUUCAAAAUGCAGAGGCUGUCUGCUGCGGGAAGCAGUGCUCUGUGCAGCUUUCAGGUGCGUUCUGCUCUCGAUCAGAGCCCAAUUAGAUUCCUGCUCCGGGGAGAACAGCUCUUUGCGGAGCAGAGAUGGAGCGCCCUACCUGCACACAGUGAUUGCUGCUUAUCAUAAAGAUGGACAUGGCUACCAAAAGGUGCAAGUCAUUAUCUGUCCCAGUUAUUCUCCCUCCACAAUCCAGUGAAUAAAGACCAACCGCACCGCCAUCACCACCCACAGCCUCCAGUGGUGGCACUAUGGGGACCAGGACCCCAUGGAUGGAGGUUUCCCCAGGGCACGGGCUGCCAGGACCCACAUCUCACCCAUCCCUACAUUUCAUUCCAGAUGCACAUGGAAAGCAUCCCCCGGCUUCCAGUUCCAGCCUCCCACCUCAGCCGUGCAGCCGCUCCAGAACAACAUCCAUCCCCAUCGUUCCUCUUGCUUUCAAUCCACAAUCCAGAUUUGCCCGGAGACCUGUGAGUACAUUUCCCUUUUUUGUUGUUGUUGUUUGGUUUUGAGUCAGGUGUUUUCCAUUUGCUGAUAACGGCGUGUGUUUGUUCCAAGAUCACCUGCAUAAACACGAUGGGGGCAGGGGGCAAGGUUCAAGAGUUGAG
ensembl:lncRNA